rnacentral:rRNA from 1 species
UGGGGAAUAUUGCACAAUGGGCGCAAGCCUGAUGCAGCAAUGCCGCGUGAGUGAAGACGGCCUUAGGGUUGUAAAACUCUUUCGCUAGGGAAGAUAAUGACGGUACCUAGUAAAGAAGUCCCGGCUAACUCCGUGCCAGCAGCCGCGGUAAUACGGAGGGGACUAGCGUUGUUCGGAAUUACUGGGCGUAAAGCGUGCGUAGGCGGCUUUGCAAGUAGAGGGUGAAAUCCCAGAGCUCAACUCUGGAACUGCCCCUCAAACUGCAGAGCUAGAAUCCUGGAGAGGUGAGUGGAAUUCCUAGUGUAGAGGUGAAAUUCGUAGAUAUUAGGAAGAACACCAGUGGCGAAGGCGACUCACUGGACAGGUAUUGACGCUGAGGUACGAAAGCGUGGGGAGCGAACAGGAUUAGAUACCCUGGUAGUCCACGCCGUAAACGAUGAGCACUCGGUGCCGCGGGUAUCGACCCCUGCGGUGCCUGAGCUAACGCAUUAAGUGCUCCGCCUGGGAGUACGGUCGCAAGAUUAAAACUCAAAUGAAUUGA